rnacentral:rRNA from 1 species
AUGGCGGCGCGCGCUCACGACUCCGCCGUGCUCGCGCUCCUCGACCGCGCCGCCUGCCUCAACUUCGCCGACUCCGCCUGGCGGAUGCUGCCCGUCCUCGCGGCUGGCUCGUCCCGCUUCAGCAGCGCGCGGGAGAUCAAGGACGCGGUCGCCAUCGCCAUCGUGGAGUUCCAGCGGCAGCGCCCCGUCGUGUCCACGUCGGAGACGCACGACGGCGAGAAGGACGUCCAAGGCUCGCCGACGCUGAGCGAGCUGUCCACGUCCAGCGACUUGUUGGACGAGCACUGGUUUGGCGGCAUGGACGCCGGCUCGUACUACGCGAGCUUGGCGCAGGGGAUGCUCAUGGAGCCGCCGUCCGCCAGAACGUGGAGCGAGGAUGGCGGCGAAUACAGCGGCGUCUACACGCCGCUUUGGAACUAA